UACGUAGGGGGCAAGCGUUGUCCGGAAUUAGUGGGCGUAAAGCGCGCGCAGGCGGUCUCUUAAGUCUGAUGUGAAAGCCCACGGCUCAACCGUGGAGGGUCAUUGGAAACUGGGGGACUUGAGUUCAGGAGAGGAAAGUGGAAUUCCAUGUGUAGCGGUGAAAUGCGUAGAGAUGUUGAGGAACACCAGUGGCGAAGGCGACUUUCUGGCCUGUAACUGACGCUGAGGCGCGAAAGCGUGGGGAUCAAACAGG
rnacentral:misc_RNA from 1 species